rnacentral:rRNA from 1 species
UACGAAGGGGGCUAGCGUUACUCGGAUUGACUGGGCGUAAAGGGCGCGUAGGCGGUUUGUACAGUCAGACGUGAAAUUCCUGGGCUCAACCUGGGGGCUGCGUUUGAUACGUGCGGACUUGAGUUCGGAAGAGGGUCGUGGAAUUCCCAGUGUAGAGGUGAAAUUCGUAGAUAUUGGGAAGAACACCGGUGGCGAAGGCGGCUAUCUGGACUGUGAUUGACGCUGAGGCGCGAAAGCGUGGGGAGCAAACAGG